UCUCUUGUCAGUCCCCCUGUAAACGCUUCCCCGGUGCAACGUCCUUUUAGUUCCAUUUCCGUUUUCCUGUUUUUAUUCAUUUUAUUCAAUUUUCGCUUUCCUUUUUUCCGGAGCACCCUCUGUUUGGCGAAAGCAUACCCCGAAUUCCCACCAAGCAUCUUGGAAUACAUCACUGAAUAAUGGCAGCACCUCAAGGGCUCCCGUGGUCUGAGGAAAAGGAUCGAAAAUCAAAGAUCCAAAGUGGGUAGAAUCAUGGCCUUCCUCUCGUUUAUAACUGAAGGGCAGACAAUCCUCCAAAAUUGGACUUUCCUUUCAAAUAUGUCCAGCACAUACCAGUGGCCAGAACAUCUGCUAAGUGAGGGAAAGGCUGAGAACACAGUGAAAACCUACCUGGUGAAUUUGUCCCAGUUCCUGACCUACUUCAGGGACACCCCUCCCUCCUCAUCCAGGGUUCCAAAAAGAGCAGUGUUUUCCGUGCUUCGUGCUAUCUCAGAGUGCAUUUCAAACCUUGGCCCAGAUGUGGUCAUGCAUCAGAUAAGUGUCAAGAAAAAGAAGUUGAGCCGGACCAUCUCCAAGGACCAACUUCACCUCUGCAAAGUCCUGGCCAGGAGACGCAUCCCUGAACUUCUUGAUCAACUGUCUGAGGACACCAACCCGGAGGCACGCAGGAGAUUCUUCGGGUACCUCAGUGUUUAUCUAGC